UUGAACGCUGGCGGCAUGCCUUACACAUGCAAGUCGAACGGUAACAGGUCUUCGGAUGCUGACGAGUGGCGAACGGGUGAGUAAUACAUCGGAACGUGCCCGAUCGUGGGGGAUAACGGAGCGAAAGCUUUGCUAAUACCGCAUACGAUCUACGGAUGAAAGCAGGGGACCGCAAGGCCUUGCGCGGACGGAGCGGCCGAUGGCAGAUUAGGUAGUUGGUGGGAUAAAAGCUUACCAAGCCGACGAUCUGUAGCUGGUCUGAGAGGACGACCAGCCACACUGGGACUGAGACACGGCCCAGACUCCUACGGGAGGCAGCAGUGGGGAAUUUUGGACAAUGGGCGCAAGCCUGAUCCAGCCAUGCCGCGUGCGGGACGAAGGCCUUCGGGUUGUAAACCGCUUUCAGCCGGAAAGAAAUCGUCAAGGCUAAUAUCCUUGAUGGAUGACGGUACCGGAAGAAGAAGCACCGGCUAACUACGU
rnacentral:rRNA from 1 species